UACAGAGGUCUCAAGCGUUGUUCGGAUUCAUUGGGCGUAAAGGGUGCGUAGGUGGCGCUGUAAGUCGGGUGUGAAAUUUCGGAGCUUAACUCCGAAACUGCAUUCGAUACUGCGGUGCUUGAGGACUGGAGAGGAGACUGGAAUUCAUGGUGUAGCAGUGAAAUGCGUAGAUAUCUGGAGGAAUACCGGUGGCGAAGGCGCAUCCUGGACCGGCAUUGACGCUGAGGAGCGAAAGCCAGGGGAGCAAAGCGGG
rnacentral:rRNA from 1 species